rnacentral:rRNA from 2 species
UGGGGAAUAUUGCACAAUGGAGGGAACUCUGAUGCAGCGACGCCGCGUGAACGAAGAAGGCUUUCGAGUCGUAAAGUUCUUUUAUAUGGGAAGAUAAUGACGGUACCAUAAGAAAAAGCCCCGGCUAACUACGUGCCAGCAGCCGCGGUAAUACGUAGGGGGCUAGCGUUGUCCGGAAUCACUGGGCGUAAAGGGUUCGCAGGCGGAAAUGCAAGUCAGGUGUAAAAGGCAGUAGCUUAACUACUAUAAGCAUUUGAAACUGCAUAUCUUGAGAAGAGUAGAGGUAAGUGGAAUUUUUAGUGUAGCGGUGAAAUGCGUAGAUAUUAAAAAGAAUACCGGUGGCGAAGGCGACUUACUGGGCUCAUUCUGACGCUGAGGAACGAAAGCGUGGGUAGCAAACAGG